AGUGAACGCUGUCGGUUGGCCUAACACAUGCAAGUCGAACGGCAGCACAUUAAGUUCUUGCUCUUACUGUUGGCGAGUGGCGUACGGGUGCGGCAUACCUCGGAAUCUACUUUUUCGUGGGGGAUCACUUAGGGAAACUUACGCUAAUACCUCAUACGACCUACUGGUGACAGCAUGGGAUCUUUGGAUCUUGCGCGAAUUAAUGAGCCGAUGUCGGAUUAGCUAGUUAGUUAUUUAAAAGCCCACCAAGGCAACCAUCCAGAGCUGGUCUGAGAGGAUGAACAGCCACAAGGGAACUGAGAAACGGUCAAGACACCAACGGGAGGAAGAAGAGGGGAAUAUUGGGCAAUGGGAGAAAGGCUGAUAAAGCCAUACCGCGUAGGUGACGAAGGACAUCGGGUUGAAAAGCCCGUCUGUAGGGAAAGAAAAGCAGGAGGUUAAUACCCCGCAGUUAUGACGGUAGAAAAAGAAUAAGCAACGGCUAACUUAGUG
rnacentral:rRNA from 1 species